rnacentral:rRNA from 1 species
CCUACGGGAAGCAGCAGUGAGGAAUAUUGGUCAAUGGACGAGAGUCUGAACCAGCCAAGUAGCGUGAAGGAUGACUGCCCUAUGGGUUGUAAACUUCUUUUAUAUGGGAAUAAAAUGUUCCACGUGUGGGAUUUUGUAUGUACCAUAUGAAUAAGGAUCGGCUAACUCCGUGCCAGCAGCCGCGGUAAUACGGAGGAUCCGAGCGUUAUCCGGAUUUAUUGGGUUUAAAGGGAGCGUAGGUGGAUUGUUAAGUCAGUUGUGAAAGUUUGCGGCUCAACCGUAAAAUUGCAGUUGAAACUGGCAGUCUUGAGUACAGUAGAGGUGGGCGGAAUUCGUGGUGUAGCGGUGAAAUGCUUAGAUAUCACGAAGAACUCCGAUUGCGAAGGCAGUUCACUGGACUGCAACUGACACUGAGGCUCGAAAGUGUGGGUAUCAAACAGGAUUAGAUACCCGAGUAGUC